UACAGAGGAUGCAAGCGUUAUCCGGAAUGAUUGGGCGUAAAGCGUCCGCAGGUGGCUAUGUAAGUCUGCUGUUAAAGAGUGAGGCUCAACCUCAUAAGAGCAGUGGAAACUACAUGGCUAGAGUGCGUUCGGGGCAGAGGGAAUUCCUGGUGUAGCGGUGAAAUGCGUAGAUAUCAGGAAGAACACCGGUGGCGAAAGCGCUCUGCUAGGCCGCAACUGACACUGAGGGACGAAAGCUAGGGGAGCGAAUGGG
rnacentral:rRNA from 1 species